UAAAAGCAAGCUGUUGUAAGCGUUUCAUUUACACUGAAGAGGAUCUUGAAUAAACAAGGCUUUUAA
rnacentral:tRNA from 1 species